AUUGAACGCUGGCGGCAGGCCUAACACAUGCAAGUCGAGCGGAUGAAGGGAGCUUGCUCCUGGAUUCCGCGGCGGACGGGGGAGUAAUGCCUAGGAAUCUGCCUGGUAGGGGUGGAGGACGUCCGGAAACGGGCGCGAAUACUGCAUACUACGUGAUGGAGCAAGAGGGGGGGCGUCGGACCUCAUGCGAUCAGAUGAGCCUAGGUCGGGUUAGCUAGUUGGUGGGGUAAAGGCCUACCAAGGGGACGAUCCGUAACUAGUCUGAGAGGAUGGUCAGUCACACUGGAACUGCGACACGGUCCUGACUCCUGCGGGAGGCAGCAGUGGGGAAUAUUGGACAGUGGGCGAAAGCCUGAUCCAGCCGUGCCGCGUGUGUGAAGAAGGUCUUCGGAUUGUAAAGCACUUUAAGUUGGGAGGAAGGGCAGUAAGUUAAUACCUUGCUGUUUUGACGUUACCAGCAGAAUAAGCACCGGCUAACUUCGUG
rnacentral:rRNA from 1 species